CUUUAUUGAGUAGAUUGAUUAUAGUGGUAUGAAGAAUGGAGAGUAGAGAAGAGAUGCAACACAGUUUUUACGUGGUUCGGCAAAAUAGAAGCCUACAUCCACGAGGAAGGAUCUCCUUUUUCUUAUUGAAGAUGAGUUACAAAUUCACUACUUUUCUCUCUUUUCCUCUUUUACAUGGAAGUAUGAAUAUUUCUAAAAACUCCUUUGAUAGAGAACAACCUUUAUAUAUUUAUAGGUGUUUUACAUAAGUAAGGUUGUUAAAAAAAAAAGAGGAAUGUAAAAAUAUAUGUGUUGGAAUUCAUUAGUUUUCCUUUAUUUUGAUGAGAGCAUACCCUACACAUCCGAACACUUUAAGGUCACUUAGACUUGGUGGAUGUUUGGACCACUUUUCCUCAGGUGUUAGGAGACCUAAGGAGGUAUGAGAGCUUCUGUUCAACGUGUGCAUAACAUAGGCAGCAACUUCAGCCCAAAACUUUUCUUCUAGGAUGGCAUCUAAUAAUAGACACCUUACCCUUUCCAUUAUAGUUCUGUUUAGUCUUUCUGCUACUCCGUUUUGUUGGGGUGUGUAGGUCAUUGUUUUGUGUCUUGUUAUUCCACUUUGCCUGCAAAAGUUAUUAAACACCUCUCCACAAAACUCCAAACCAUUGUCAGUUCUAAGAUAUUUAACAUUUUAUCAGUUUGUUUUUCUAUCAUUAGUUUCCAUUCUUUAAAUUUUUCAAAAACUUGAUCUUUAGUUUUUAAGAAAUAGAUCCAACUUUUUCUAGAAAAAUCAUCAGUAAAAGAUAGAAAAUACCUUGAGCCACUUAGGCUUGGAGUGGAUGUUGGACCCCAUAGAUCCGAAUGGAUGUAGUCUAGGAUUCCUUUUGUUGUGUGUUGUGCUUUGGUGAAGUUUUGUUUUCUUGUUUUGCCUAGUACACAGUGUUCACAAAAGGACAGUUUGCUGCAUGUGUCUUGAGGCAGAAUCCCUGUUUAGAUAGUGCCUCAAGUCCUUUCUGACUAAUAUGGGACAAUCUUUUAUGCCAAAGAUCAGCUUCUGUUAGGCGUUUAGAGAUAAAACUGUAUUUGCCUCCUCUAUCAUUUCUACUCCUUUUAUUAUGAACAAAUCAUUUACCUUUUCCCCAACCAAGACUAACUUAGAUCCCAUAAAGACUUCGAAAACUCCACAUUUCCCUUUGUAUUCACACCCUAGAGAGUCUAACAUUCCUAGGGAGAUUAAAUUUCUUUUGAGGCGAGGAACAUGUCUAACAUUUCUAAGGAGUUUUACAGUCCCAUCUUUUAGUUUCAUCUGAUCCAAUUCCAGCAAUGUUUCAUUAUUAUUCCCCAUGAACACAAAUUCUCCACUGAUCUCUCUAUAGGUAUUGAACCAUGCUCUAAAAGGUAUCAUAUGGUAGGUGCAUCCUGAGUCUAGGACCCAAUCAUGUUUUCCUAAGGGGUUGACAUGGUUGGUCUAAGGUUGAUGCCAAGGCAUCUGUGUAGGUAAAAGAGCUUUCUACUAUAGACACUUCUGGUUGUUUCCCUUUAGAAUCUUUUUUUUCUUCUUGAUUCUUUCUUUUAAGAAAAAAACAUUCUUAUAUGAGGUGUCCCUUCUUUUUACAGUAUUUACAUUUCUUUUUCUGUUUUCCUUUCUUGUCUUCAUUAGAAAAGAUUUGUUACUGUUUUUACUUUGAUUGUUUUGGGGUUUACCUUUGACAAACAAUCCAUCACCACUAUGAUUUUCUUUGUGUGAUGAAUGUAUUUCUAAUUCUCUAGUUCUUAGAGCUGAUAUUAUGACAUCUAUUUUUACUGAGUCUCUUCCAUAUUUUAGAGCAUUUUUUACUUCUUUGUAUGCCUCGGGUAAAGAAUCUAAAAGGACAAAUGCCUCAUUUUCAUCACUUAGUUUGUCACUCAAGGGUUUUAAAAUCUGAAACUAUUUUCUUGAAUUCUUCUAAGUUUUCAGAUAAGGUUUUAGAAGGAUCCAUUUUAUAUGUGAAAUUUUUUUCCCUUAGGUACAUUUUGUUUGGGAGAUCUUUAGAGGCAUAUAGGCUUUCUAGUUUCAUCCAAACUUUAUGUGUUGUUUCUUCUUCUAAAACUUGCCUAAUUAUGUUGUCACUAAGGUUUAGUAUUAGUGUUCCAUAGGCAAUUAAUUUCAUUUCUUCUUUUUGUGCUGCUGUGAGGGUUGUUGGAAGUUCUGAAGGAUCAAAAAGGGCUUUAUGAGACUUUUGCUGUCCAAGCAAGACUUUGAUCUUUGCUUUCCAUAAUGCAAAGUCUCCCUUUCCAUCAAACUUCUCAAUUUCUACUCUUGCUAUAGCCAUUUUCUGGUCUGUCUUUCUUUAAUUUUCUCCAAGAUUCAGUUUCUUGAAUUUCAAGAACCUUGCUUUGAUACCAAUUUGUUGGGCCUAAAGGUGUAAUUUUGGUUUGGGCCUCUAUUUAGUGUAGGAUGAAAGAAAACUUGGAGGAGAAGGAGACAUGUAGGUAUACUUGCAGCCGUACACGCGUGAAGAAGGGAAAUUAUUAUUUCUGCAUGUUGCAGAAAAGGAAAGAAAAGAAAAUUAGGAAAAGAAAGGGGAAAUUAGAGAAAUAUUGAUUACAGUGGUAUGAAGAAUGGAGAGUAGAGAAGAGAUGCAACACAGUUUUUACGUGGUUCGGUAAAAUAGAAGCCUACAUCCACGAGGAAGAAUCUCCUUUUUCUUAUUGAAGAUGAGUUACAAAUUCACUCUUUUUCUCUCUUUUCCUCUUUUACAUGGAAGUAUGAAUAUUUCUAAAAACUCCUUUGAUAGAGAACACCUUUUAUAUUUAUAGGUGUUUUACAUAAGGAAGGUUGUUAAAAAAAAAGGAGGAAUGUAAAAAUAUAUGUGUUGGAAUUCAUUAAUUUUAACAACUACUUAUGAAAUAUAUUGAAUUUGCUAUAUAAUGCCUCACUCUGAUGGCAAGCCCUCCAAAUGUAGGCGUUGUUGCACCAAACUGGGUUACCAA